rnacentral:lncRNA from 7 species
CCUGUAAUGAGUCGGAAGUAGAACUCACAGCACUCCCAGGUCGCAGCUCCCCUCUGAAUCAGCAGCAGUGUCUCAAAGCCAGAUUGGAUCACCACCAAGAAAGAAAAAGUGUUACUAACGACUAAAUGUCCUGGUUAUCAGGACAGGUUUUUACACUCCUCUCAUGCCUGGUUUCCCUUCCACAAGGAGCCGAGUUUCCACGGAGUGUGCUCCAAGAGUGAUAAUUUGGACAAAUGCAAAUAAGCUACAAUGCAGCAGAAGAAUGUUUCACCUUCCUGGAGUCCUCUCCCUUUUCUUACUGUUUCCUUAGUAGAUUUUUGGCUUGCCAGGCCAGAGACCGCUUUUAUCUUACGACCGAUGCAAAGGAAAGAACUUGUAUUACCAUUAAAGCUCCCUAAAAUGAGAUAAACUAAAUUAAACAUCUGGUGUCAUCAAGAAGCUGAGCCCCUGCUUCCUCCCUUCAUCUCUCUGCUUUCUGACAAGGUAAAUCUCCAGAUCAGAUGAAACUGUGGCUCCAGAGUACACUGUGCUUUUCAGUCCUCUCAAUAACAUUGCAGAAAAUGCAAAUUUGAAGCUGAUUUCCCAAACUCGAUUUGUGAAUUGUAGUAGUACUGUGAGCUCAAAUGUCCUCAGCUGCUCACUUUGGCUGCAGGAGCAGAGGAUAUGCACUCAAGAAGAAACUUCCUUAACCAGAAAAAUGUUAAUAGGUCAAUGCUUUGGGUAAGGAACCUGCCUAGUAUUAAACUAUGAUGUACAUUGGCUUGUGUGGUUCCAUAUUGCAUGUAAAUUUCCCUGCACACUUCUCAGCUCCUCCUAUGCAUUUUUGCCAUUGAAAUGAAAAAAAGAAUAAAAAUAAAAAGAGAAAGAUUGUGAUGAAAGAAAGACAACAAUCAUAAAAUAUUGAAAGAAUGUGUUUACAUUGAUCAUGAUGUUGCUUGCAUUGAGGAAUAAAAGCUUUAAACGUUAAAUCCAAAUAAAAAAGUGUAAGGUCAGAGGGAAAAAAUAGUCUGGAUAGUAUCAGUGACUCUUGCAGGAAACCUAAGGAGGGAAAAGAUUCUUUUCAGUCUCCUUUUUUGGCUUGCUUGUAAAUAAGCUUUGUUUAAUUG